rnacentral:tRNA from 1 species
GGUGGCUCAGUGUUAGAGCGCUUGCCUUGCAUGCAUGAGGCCCUGGGUUAGAUUUCCCCAGCACCA